UACGGAGGGCGCAAGCGUUGGUCGGAAUCACUGGGCGUAAAGCGCGCGCCGGCGGCUUGGUAAGUCGGGUGUGAAAUCCCGGAGCUCAACUCCGGAACUGCACCCGAUACUGCCUCGCUAGAGUCCCGGAGAGGAUGGCGGAAUUUCCGGUGUAGAGGGGAAAUUCGUAGAUAUGGGAAGGAACACCAGCGGCGAAGGCGGUCAUCUGGACGGUGACUGACGCUCAGACGCGAAAGCGCGGGGAGCAAACAGG
rnacentral:rRNA from 1 species